rnacentral:rRNA from 1 species
GAUGAACGCUAGCGGCAGGCUUAAUACAUGCAAGUCGUGGGGCAGCAUGAGUAGCAAUACUUGAUGGCGACCGGCAAACGGGUGAGGAACACGUACACAACCUUCCUUCAAGCGGGGAAUAGCCCAGAGAAAUUUGGAUUAAUACCCCAUAAUAUAUUUGAUAAGGCAUCUUAUUAAUAUUAAAGCUUCGGCACUUGAUGAUGGGUGUGCGGCUGAUUAGAUAGUUGGCGGGGUAACGGCCCACCAAGUCUACGAUCAGUAGCUGAUGUGAGAGCAUGAUCAGCCACACGGGCACUGAGACACGGGCCCGACUCCUACGGGAGGCAGCAGUAAGGAAUAUUGGACAAUGGACGAAAGUACUGAUCCAGCCAUGCCGCGUGAAGGAUUAAGGUCCUCUGGAUUGUAAACUUCUUUAUUAUGGGACGAAAAAGGCAUUCUUGUUCACUUGACGGUACCAUAUGAAUAAGCACCGGCUAACUCCGUGCCAGCA